rnacentral:rRNA from 1 species
UACGUAGGGGGCAAGCGUUGUCCGGAAUUAUUGGGCGUAAAGAGCUCGUAGGCGGUUUGUCGCGUCUGCCGUGAAAGUCCGGGGCUCAACUCCGGAUCUGCGGUGGGUACGGGCAGACUAGAGGUGAUGUAGGGGAGACUGGAAUUCCUGGUGUAGCGGUGAAAUGCGCAGAUAUCAGGAGGAACACCGGUGGGCGAAGGCGGUUCUCUGGGCAUUAACCUGA